rnacentral:rRNA from 2 species
UCGGGAAUAUUGCGCAAUGGAGGAAACUCUGACGCAGUGACGCCGCGUAUAGGAAGAAGUUUUUCGGAAUGUAAACUAUUGUCGUUAGGGAAGAGAAAGGACAGUACCUAAGGAGGAAGCUCCGGCUAACUACGUGCCAGCAGCCGCGGUAAUACGUAGGGAGCGAGCGUUAUCCGGAAUUAUUGGGUGUAAAGGGUGCGUAGACGGGAGAACAAGUUAGUUGUGAAAUCCCUCGGCUUAACUGAGGAACUCCAACUAAAACUAUUUUUCUUGAGUGCAGGAGAGGUAAGUGGAAUUCCUAGUGUAGCGGUGAAAUGCGUAGAUAUUAGGAGGAACACCAGUGGCGAAGGCGACUUUACUGGACUUGUAACUGACGUUGAGGCACGAAAGUGUGGGGAGCAAACA